rnacentral:rRNA from 1 species
UACGUAGGGGCCUAGCGUUGUCCGGAAUUAUUGGGCGUAAAGAGCUCGUAGGCGGUUCGGCAAGUCGGAUGUGAAAUCUCCACGCUUAACGUGGAGGGGCCAUUCGAAACUGCUGUGACUCGAGUCCGGUAGGGGAGUGUGGAAUUCCCGGUGUAGCGGUGAAAUGCGCAGAUAUCGGGAGGAACACCAGCAGCGAAGGCGGCACUCUGGGCCGGUACUGACGCUGAGGAGCGAAAGCGUGGGGAGCGAACAGG